rnacentral:rRNA from 1 species
GUCUACUACCAUACCACUCUGAACACACCCAAUCUCAUCUGAUCUCAGAAGCUAAAUAGGGUCGGGCCUGGUUUGUAUAAUAAUCGGAUAGGAGAAA